CAGUCGCCACGGUAAUACGAAGGGUGCGAGCGUUAAUCGGAAUUACUGGGCGUAAAGCGUGCGCAGGCGGUUAUAUAAGACAGAUGUGAAAUCCCCGGGCUCAACCUGGGACCUGCAUUUGUGACUGUAUAGCUAGAGUACGGUAGAGGGGGAUGGAAUUCCGCGUGUAGCAGUGAAAUGCGUAGAUAUGCGGAGGAACACCGAUGGCGAAGGCAAUCCCCUGGACCUGUACUGACGCUCAUGCACGAAAGCGUGGGGAGCAAACAGGAUUAGAUACCCCAGUAGUCCCUGUCUCUUAUAA
rnacentral:rRNA from 1 species